rnacentral:rRNA from 1 species
AAGCCUGAUGCAGCGACGCCGCGUGAGGGAUGACGGCCUUCGGGUUGUAAACCUCUUUCAGCACGGAAGAAGCGAAAGUGACGGUACGUGCAGAAGAAGCGCCGGCUAACUACGUGCCAGCAGCCGCGGUAAUACGUAGGGCGCAAGCGUUGUCCGGAAUUAUUGGGCGUAAAGAGCUCGUAGGCGGUUUGUCGCGUCUGCUGUGAAAGCCCGGGGCUUAACCCCGGGUGUGCAGUGGGUACGGGCAGACUUGAGUGCAGUAGGGGAGACUGGAAUUCCUGGUGUAGCGGUGAAAUGCGCAGAUAUCAGGAGGAACACCGAUGGCGAAGGCAGGUCUCUGGGCUGUUACUGACGCUGAGGAGCGAAAGCAUGGGGAGCGAACAGGAUUAGAUACCCUGGUAGUCCAUGCCGUAAACGUUGGGCACUAGGUGUGGGGAACAUUCCACGUUUUCCGCGCCGUAGCUAACGCAUUAAGUGCCCCGCCUGGGGAGUACGGCCGCAAGGCUAAAACUCAAAGGAAUUGACGGGGCCCGCACAAGCGGCGGAGCAUGCGGAUUAAUUCGAUGCAACGCGAAGAACCUUACCAAGGCUUGACAUACACCGGACCGGGCCAGAGAUGGUCUUUCCCCCUUGUGGGGCUGGUGUACAGGUGGUGCAUGGUUGUCGUCAGCUCGUGUCGUGAGAUGUUGGGUUAAGUCCCGCAACGAGCGCAACCCUCGUUCUAUGUUGCCAGCACGUGAUGGUGGGGACUCAUAGGAGACUGCCGGGGUCAACUCGGAGGAAGGUGGGGAUGACGUCAAAUCAUCAUGCCCCUUAUGUCUUGGGCUUCACGCAUGCUACAAUGGCCAGUACAAUGGGUUGCG